UACGUAGGCAGCAAGCGUUGUUCGGAGUUACUGGGCGUAAAGAGUGCGUAGGCUGUUUUCUAAGUUUGGUGUGAAAUCUCCUGGCUCAACUGGGAGGGUGCGCCGAAAACUGGAGAGCUUGAGUAUGGGAGAGGUAAGCGGAAUUCCUGGUGUAGCGGUGAAAUGCGUAGAUAUCAGGAGGAACACCGGUGGUGUAGACGGCUUACUGGACCAUCACUGACGCUGAGGCACGAAAGCGUGGGUAGCAAACAGG
rnacentral:rRNA from 1 species